rnacentral:rRNA from 1 species
UGGGGAAUAUUGCACAAUGGAGGGAACUCUGAUGCAGCGACGCCGCGUGAGUGAUGAAGGAAUUCGUUUCGUAAAACUCUGUUCUAUGGGAAGAAAAGGACUGUACCAUAGGAGAAAGCUCCGGCUAAAUACGUGCCAGCAGCCGCGGUAAUACGUAUGGAGCGAGCGUUGUCCGGAAUUAUUGGGCGUAAAGGGUGCGCAGGCGGCUUUACAAGUUGGAUGUGAAAUAUUGUGGCUCAACCACAAACGUGCAUCCAAAACUGCAAAGCUUGAGUUAAGGAGAGGUAAGUGGAAUUCCUGGUGUAGCGGUGGAAUGCGUAGAUAUCAGGAGGAAUACCGGUGGCGAAGGCGACUUACUGGAUUUAAACUGACGCUCAGGCACGAAAGCGUGGGGAGCAAACAGG